GACGAACGCUGGCGGCGUGCCUAAUACAUGCAAGUUGAGCGCUGAAGGUUGGUACUUGUACCGACUGGAUGAGCAGCGAACGGGUGAGUAACGCGUGGGGAAUCUGCCUUUGAGCGGGGGACAACAUUUGGAAACGAAUGCUAAUACCGCAUAAAAACUUUAAACACAAGUUUUAAGUUUGAAAGAUGCAAUUGCAUCACUCAAAGAUGAUCCCGCGUUGUAUUAGCUAGUUGGUGAGGUAAAGGCUCACCAAGGCGAUGAUACAUAGCCGACCUGAGAGGGUGAUCGGCCACAUUGGGACUGAGACACGGCCCAAACUCCUACGGGAGGCAGCAGUAGGGAAUCUUCGGCAAUGGACGAAAGUCUGACCGAGCAACGCCGCGUGAGUGAAGAAGGUUGUCGGAUCGUGAAACUCUGUUGGUAGAGAAGAACGUUGGUGAGAGUGGAAAGCUCAUCAAGUGACGGUAACUACCCAGAAAGGGACGGCUAACUACGUG
rnacentral:rRNA from 1 species